AUUGAACGCUGGCGGCAGGCCUAACACAUGCAAGUCGAGCGGAUGAAGGGAGCUUGCUCCUGGAUUCAGCGGCGGACGGGCGAGUAAUGCCUAGGAAUCUGCCUGGCAGUGGGGGAUAACGUCCGGAAACGGGCGCUAAUACCGCAUACGUCCUGAGGGAGAAAGUGGGGGAUCUUCGGACCUCACGCUAUCAGAUGAGCCUAGGUCGGAUUAGCUAGUUGGUGGGGUAAAGGCCUACCAAGGCGACGAUCCGUAACUGGUCUGAGAGGAUGAUCAGUCACACUGGAACUGAGACACGGUCCAGACUCCUACGGGAGGCAGCAGUGGGGAAUAUUAGACAAUGGGCGAAAGCCUGAUCCAGCCAUGCCGCGUGUGUGAAGAAGGUCUUCGGAUUGUAAAGCACUUUAAGUUGGGAGGAAGGGCAGUAAGUUAAUACCUUGCUGUUUUGACGUUACCAACAGAAUAAGCACCGGCUAACUUCGUG
rnacentral:rRNA from 1 species